AUUGAACGCUGGCGGCAGGCUUAACACAUGCAAGUCGAGCGGGGAAGGGUAGCUCGCUACCUAACCUAGCGGCGGACGGGUGAGUAAUGCUUAGGAAUCUGCCUAUUAGUGGGGGACAACAUUCCGAAAGGAAUGCUAAUACCGCAUACGCCCUACGGGGGAAAGCAGGGGAGCUUCGGACCUUGCGCUAAUAGGUGUGCCUAAGGCAGAUUCGCUAGUUGGUGGGGUAAAGGCCUACCAAGGCGACGAUCUGUAGCGGGUCUGAGAGGGAUGAUCCGCCACACUGGGACUGAGACACGGCCCAGACUCCUACGGGAGGCAGCAGUGGGGAAUAUUGGACAAUGGGCGCAAGCCUGAUCCAGCCAUGCCGCGUGUGUGAAGAAGGCCUUUUGGUUGUAAAGCACUUUAAGCGGGGAGGAGGCUACUUGGAUUAAUACUCUAGGAUAGUGGACGUUACUCGCAGAAUAAGCACCGGCUAACUCUGUGCCAGCAGCCGCAGUAAAAC
rnacentral:rRNA from 1 species